GAUGAACGCUAGCGGCAGGCCUAAUACAUGCAAGUCGAACGGUAACAUGAGUAGCAAUACUUGAUGACGAGUGGCGCACGGGUGCGUAACGCGUAUGCAAUCUACCUUUAACAGGUGAAUAGCCCGAAGAAAUUCGGAUUAAUACACCAUAGUAUUGUAAUCUGGCAUCAGAAGACAAUUAAAACUCCGGUGGUUAAAGAUGAGCAUGCGUGACAUUAGCUAGUUGGUAAGGUAACGGCUUACCAAGGCAACGAUGUCUAGGGGAUCUGAGCGGAUUAACCCCCACACUGGUACUGAGACAGGGACCAGACUCCUACGGGAGGCAGCAGUAAGGAAUAUUGGACAAUGGUGGCAACACUGAUCCAGCCAUGCCGCGUGAAGGAUGAAGGCCCUAUGGGUUGUAAACUUCUUUUGUACGGGAAAAAACCUCUUUACGUGUAAAGAGCUGAUUGUACUGUAAGAAUAAGGAUCGGCUAACUCCGUGCCAGCAGCCGCCGUAA
rnacentral:rRNA from 1 species